rnacentral:sRNA from 1 species
CCCGGAACUAGCGGGGCCAGCGCCCCGGUCU